rnacentral:rRNA from 1 species
CACACAGUAAACGAUGAUAACUAGCCGUUGGCGAUAUACAGUCAGUGGCAGAGCGAAAGCAUUAAGUUAUCCACCUGGGGAGUACGCCGGCAACGGUGAAACUCAAAGGAAUUGACGGGGGCCCGCACAAGCGGAGGAACAUGUGGUUUAAUUCGAUGAUACGCGAGGAACCUUACCCGGGCUUGAAUUGCAGAGGAAUAAUGUGGAAACAUGUUAGCCAGUAAUGGUCUCUGUGAAGGUGC